AGUUCGAUCCUGGCUCAGAUUGAACGCUGGCGGGAUACUUACAUUACACAUGCAAGUCGAACGGCAGCACGGACUUCAGUCUGGUGGCGAGUGGCGAACGGGUGAGUAAUGUAUCCGGAACGUGCCUAGUAGCUGAGGGGGAUAACUACGCGAAAGCGUAGCUAAUACCGCAUACGCCGCGAGGAAAGCGGGGGACCUUCCCGGGCCUCGCACUAUUGAAACAGCCACGAUAUCGGAUAGCUAGUUGGUGGGGUAACGGCUCACCAAGGCGACGAUCAUCAGCUGGUUUGAGGAAGGGACAGCCAGCCACACUGGGACUGAGACACGGCCAGAACUCUGCAGGAGGCGGCGCGGUGGGAAUUUUUGGACAAUGGGGAAACCCUGAUCCGGCCAUCGCGUGUGCGAUGAAGGCCUUCGGGUUGUAAAGCACUUUUGGCCAGGAAAAAGCAGCCUGGGAUAAUACCCCGUGCAACUGACGAUACCUGCAGAAUAAGCGGCUAACUACGUGCCAACAGCCGCGGUAAUACGUAGGGUACAGCGUUAAUCGGAAUUACUGGGCGUAAAGCGUGCGCAGGCGGUUCGGAAAGAAAGAUGUGAAAUCCCAGAGCUUAACUUUGGAGCUACUGUUUUAACUACCGGGCUAGUGUCGAGAGGGAGGUGGAAUUCCGCGUGUAGCAGUGAAAUGCGUAGAUAUGCGGAGGAACACCGAUAGCGAAGGCCUCCUGGGAUACUGACGCUCAUGCACAACAAUAAUGAGGUAAAACAGAGUUAGAUACCCUGGUAGUCCACGCCCUAAGCGAUAUCAACUAGCUGUUGGGAGCCUUCGGGCCUUGGUAGCGCAAUAACGCGUGAAGUUGACCGCCUGGGAAGUACGGUCGCAAGAUUAAAACUCAAAGGAAUUGACGGGGACCCGCACGGCGGUGGAUGAUGGAUUAAUUCAGGUAUGCAACGCGAAACCUUACCUGCCGCCGGCAUGUCUGAAUCCGAAGAGAUUUGGGAGUGCUCGCAAGAGAACCGGAACACAGGUGCUGCAUGACUGUCGUCAGCUCGUGUCGUGAGAUGUUGGGUUAAGUCCCGCAACGAGCGCAACCCUUGUCAUUAGUUGCUACGAAAGGGCACUCUAAUGAGACUGCCGGUGACAAACCGGAGGAAGGUGGGGAUGACGUCAAGUCCUCAUGACCCUUAUGGGUAGGGCUUCACGUCCAUACAAUGGUCGGGACAGAGGUCGCCAACCCGCGAGGGGGAGCCAAUCCCAGAAACCCGAUCGUAGUCCGGAUCGCAGUCUGCAACUCGACUGCGCGUGAGUCCAGAAUCACCAGUAAUCGCGGAUCAGCAUGCCGCGGUGAAUACGUUCCCGGGUCUUGUACACACCGCCCGUCACACCAUGGGUGGGUUUUACCGAAGUAGUUAGCCUAACCGUAAGGAGGGCGAUUACCACGGUAGGAUUCAUGACUGGGGUGAAGUCGUAACUAAAGAGGUAG
rnacentral:rRNA from 1 species